GACGAACGCUGGCGGCGUGCUUAACACAUGCAAGUCGAACGGAAAGGCCCUGCUUUUGUGGGGUGCUCGAGUGGCGAACGGGUGAGUAACACGUGAGUAACCUGCCCUUGACUUUGGGAUAACUUCAGGAAACUGGGGCUAAUACCGGAUAGGAGCUCCUGCUGCAUGGUGGGGGUUGGAAAGUUUCGGCGGUUGGGGAUGGACUCGCGGCUUAUCAGCUUGUUGGUGGGGUAGUGGCUUACCAAGGCUUUGACGGGUAGCCGGCCUGAGAGGGUGACCGGCCACAUUGGGACUGAGAUACGGCCCAGACUCCUACGGGAGGCAGCAGUGGGGAAUAUUGCACAAUGGGCGGAAGCCUGAUGCAGCAACGCCGCGUGCGGGAUGACGGCCUUCGGGUUGUAAACCGCUUUCGCCUGUGACGAAGCGUGAGUGACGGUAAUGGGUAAAGAAGCACCGGCUAACUACGUGCCAGCAGCCGCGGUGAUACGUAGGGUGCGAGCGUUGUCCGGAUUUAUUGGGCGUAAAGGGCUCGCAGGUGGUUGAUCGCGUCGGAAGUGUAAUCUUGGGGCUUAACCCUGAGCGUGCUUUCGAUACGGGUUGACUUGAGGAAGGUAGGGGAGAAUGGAACUCCUGGUGGAGCGGUGGAAUGCGCAGAUAUCAGGAGGAACACCAGUGGCGAAGGCGGUUCUCUGGGCCUUUCCUGACGCUGAGGAGCGAAAGCGUGGGGAGCGAACAGGCUUAGAUACCCUGGUAGUCCACGCUGUAAACGGUGGGUACUAGGUGUGGGGUCCAUUCCACGGGUUCCGUGCCGUAGCUAACGCUUUAAGUACCCCGCCUGGGGAGUACGGCCGCAAGGCUAAAACUCAAAGGAAUUGACGGGGCCCCGCACAAGCGGCGGAGCAUGCGGAUUAAUUCGAUGCAACGCGUAGAACCUUACCUGGGUUUGACGUGGAUCGGGAGUGCUCAGAGAUGGGUGUGCCUCUUUUGGGGUCGGUUCACAGGUGGUGCAUGGCUGUCGUCAGCUCGUGUCGUGAGAUGUUGGGUUAAGUCCCGCAACGAGCGCAACCCUUGUUCACUGUUGCCAGCACGUUAUGGUGGGGACUCAGUGGAGACCGCCGGGGUCAACUCGGAGGAAGGUGGGGAUGACGUCAAGUCAUCAUGCCCCUUAUGUCCAGGGCUUCACGCAUGCUACAAUGGCUGGUACAGAGAGUGGCGAGCCUGUGAGGGUGAGCGAAUCUCGGAAAGUCGGUCUCAGUUCGGAUUGGGGUCUGCAACUCGACCUCAUGAAGUCGGGGUCGCUAGUAAUCGCAGAUCAGCAACGCUGCGGUGAAUACGUUCCCGGGGCU
rnacentral:rRNA from 1 species